rnacentral:rRNA from 1 species
AACGAACGCUGGCGGCAGGCUUAACACAUGCAAGUCGAACGGAUCCUUCGGGAUUAGUGGCAGACGGGUGAGUAACGCGUGGGAACGUACCCUUUGCUACGGAAUAACUCAGGGAAACUUGAGCUAAUACCGUAUGUGCCCUACGGGGGAAAGAUUUAUCGGCAAAGGAUCGGCCCGCGUUGGAUUAGCUAGUUGGUGGGGUAAUGGCCUACCAAGGCGACGAUCCAUAGCUGGUCUGAGAGGAUGAUCAGCCACACUGGGACUGAGACACGGCCCAGACUCCUACGGGAGGCAGCAGUGGGGAAUAUUGGACAAUGGGCGCAAGCCUGAUCCAGCCAUGCCGCGUGAGUGAUGAAGGUCUUAGGAUUGUAAAGCUCUUUCACCGGUGAAGAUAAUGACGGUAGCCGGAUAAGAAGCCCCGGCUAACUUCGUG